CUAACUUCUAUGUUAAAAGUUACAAUGGUGACUUUUUGGCUGCAGGCUUAUACGUUGAUGAUAUGAUUUAUACUGGAAGUUCAUUCCAUAUGGUGGAAGCAUUUAAAAAGUCCAUGAUGCAAACUUUUGAUAUGUGUAACUUGGGUUCAUUAAAUUAUAUUUUAGGAAUCGAAGUAGUGUAAAAUUCACAUGGUAUUUUUAUUUGUCAGAAAAAAUAUGCAGCUGACUUAUUAAAAAAAGCUAGAAUGGGGAAUUGCAAGUGUGUUAAGACUCCACUGAAUGCAAAUAAGAAGCUGACUUUAAGUGACGCGGUUGAGAAGGUUGAUGAGAACAAUUUCAGAAGUGUUGUAGGAAACCUAAUGUAUCUCUAAUACAAUGCCUGAUAUUACAUAUGAUGUGAGUUAUUUCUAGAUUCAUCCAUAGUCCAAGGAAGGUUCAUUUGGGUGCAACUAAGAGAAGUCUUCGUUAUGUUCAGGGAACUUCAAAUUUUGGCGUCAGGUAUUUAAGAAGUAACUCAAAUUAACUCAUUGUUUUUACUAACAGUGAUUGGGCUUCUUGUCCAAAUGAUAUAAAGAGCACUACUGGUUAUAUGCUUAGCUUGGGAUAAGGUGCAAUUUCAUGGUCCUCAAAAAAGCAACAUAGCACUGGUCUUUCAAGCACAGAAGCAAAGUAUGCAGCUGCAACAACCACAGCUUGUCAAGUUGUUUGGCUAAGAAGAAUUUUGAAGGAUCUGAAGUAAGAUAAUGGUGGAGCAACGGUGAUUUUUUGAGACGAAGCAUCAUUUCAUUCGAGAGUUAGUGAAAAAAGAAAUUGUAGAGCUACAGUACAUCAGCACAGAAAAUCAACCAGUAGACAUUCUCACUAAAGCAUUACUCGAAGCCAAAUUUGCAAAAUUCAGAUCCAUGAUGGGAGUUGAACCCCUUGUUGAAGUAAUGGGAGGAAAUGUUGGGAAUUAAUUCAAAUUCGGGGUUUCGUAUUGACUUGAUAUUUAUUUCUUGUUUUGUUAAUAUUGUUUAAGAAAUAAGUUGGAUCUUUUUGUUCUAGAUUUGAGGUUGAUCUGGUCCAUACAGGUCAUGCCACUAAUUUUUGUUAUUAUGUAUCAAUGAGUCUGGUAGAAAUAUCAAGAGUAGUGGUCGCGUGUUUGUAACUACCAAGUGUUGAACGUCUAUUUAAUCACUUGGAGUCCUGAAAUAGAAAGAU
rnacentral:lncRNA from 1 species